CGGACCUUACCCUCAGAACUUAGGAAACGGUGGAUCUGAAGAGAGACCCCCACCCCCCUUUUUUGAAGCGUCUUCUUCUUUACAGGCUUUAGGAGACCCUUCCAUCUCCUCUCCAAACCAAUAGCCAUGGCUUCACCCUCAUCACCACCAAAUCCUUCAGCACACGCCAUUUAACUCCCCUUCUUCAUCCAUCAUUUCCUCACAGCCACCAAAUCGCCGGAAAUCCGGCAUUCAUCAGCUCCCCCUUUCUCUUCGAUUCUUUUUAUCUCAUCUCUAACCUUGAAAAAAAUGGAAACAAAGACCUGACAAGCUUGGAGACCAAAAGCAAUAGAAAAACCGAAUUUCAAAGAAGAUCUGAAAGGGAGUUUGGUCGCUGAAAUGUUAAAAUUCGUCUUCCUCCUUUCUUUGGGCUCGUAUGAAGUUGUGAAUGGACUGUGUUGCUGAACUCGUUGUUCCCGAUUUUAAAUGUUCUAUUCAUCUUCAGCGUUAACUUUACUUGGUUAUUUGGGACUGUAUUACUGCCGCUAAGGUACUGUCUCCCAUUCUCGUUCUUGUAAUUCUCAUUUUGAUUCAAUGAAAAUAUGCUUACAAUGAUGAGGCAGUGUAUAAUUAUAUAUUUUCUUGUUACAUUCAGCAAUUCCUGUCAUUGUAGUGUAUCAUGAUUUGAUUUUAUAGCUAAAUGGAAUAAAGGUCUCUAUUUUCAGGUUGUCAUUUUUAAGAUGGUUCUGGAACCGGAUUAUUGGUUUGUCUAGUAUUCUACCAGAAUUUUUGGCUUAAAAUAUGGUAUACAGUGGGAGGGACUUUAGGGAUUUGCCCUCUGGUUUUGUUUAAUUAUCAAUUCCUUUUUGUAAGUAAUUAAGUGUCAAGUUGUUUUUUUAUUUGAGCUACAUGAUCCAUCUUGAUCAAAGUUAGUUUAUAAUGGACUGAGUUGGACCCUUUAGCAUAUGAGAAUUGGAAUGUGAGAAACAUAUGGUCUUUGACACAAACGGAGUGUUGAUGUUAACCAAUCUUGUGUAUUGUUGCUAUUAACCAAGGUAUUCUGAAUAAUGGAAAAUUUCUUUCCUUUUUUUUGGUGAAAUUUGGUCUUUGACACAAGCGGAGUCGAUACAGCGAUGUAAUUUGCUCAUUUUUUGGAGUUUGAAUAUGCUUGUGGCAAACAGAGCAUCUUUGUGGUUGCUAACUUGGUAAUUGGUGUGAAAGCUCAUACAAUAUCAAAGUGUCUAAGUUAAUUAAGCUAGGUACAAGAAGUCCUUCUAUGUAAUCACUAUUUCUGAUUUUCCAAAAUAAUUCCAAGAGCCAUGUGAAGAGCUACUUAUUCUAAAUCAGUGUCUCGCUAUUAUGGUAUUCAAUGGUGAGUUUCAAUAGUUUAAGGACGAUUCUGAAUAAUUAAAAUACCAUUGGAGCAGUAGGCAUCAUAUUUAAAAGUUUAGUCAGGUGUAGAUUUGGA
rnacentral:lncRNA from 1 species